UUCCCUGAAAAUCUCCAACUAAUUAAAUCUUUUCUUCUCCUCCUUAUUUAAACGCACGCUGCCAUCUCUUCCUCACACAUUCUUUCAUCCAAAAUCUGAGAAAAAGAAACUUGCGAAUACCGUGAGUUCAGCAUCCAAUCUGCCGUUAUUUUCUUCUCUUCCUCCACAAGCUCGAAGGAAAAACCAAGAGAGUUGUGAUUUUUCAAUACUUUCUCUUCUGCAAGUUUUGCCUCUUCCGGAAGGUGAACUCUUGCACGUCGUUUGUGAUUGGAGAAGAAAGUUGAUUGAGGAGUUAAGCGAUUGAGAUUGAGCGACGAUAGACGUGGAGGAUGUUGAGCAAAGUUAUUGGAAAAUUAUAUCUUGUUUGGUUGUUGGAUUUGUCAGGUCUUCAUACUCGGCAUUUUUCCAUGUCUUGACGCUUCCGCUAAAAUUCUAAAUUUUCUUUGGACUGUUUCAUCAUUGGGUCUUAUUAUUCGAAGUUAGUUUUGUGGAGACAAUAUUUGAGUUUGUUUUAAGUCCUUAGUUAAUCUUUUGUUUUGGUCGUGUAUAUUUCGUUGUUCCCUUUUUCUUUCUCGCUUCUUUAACCCUCCCUUAGUUCCGAUCAACCGUGUUUUCUAUCCUUAGAAAAUGUGGGCGUGACAAUCCCCCAAAAAAAGAAGCAAAAGAGGAAGAAAGCACCCAAGGAGGACCCCGAGAUUUACGUUAUCAAGACCAAUAAGGGGAAGUACAAGUGUGGAAGAAGCUAGGGACCAAGUUGCUCCCUAUGCCAAUUUUCAAUACUCGGGUCGCUGAUCCGCCCAAUUAGUGGGCCACUUCAAGUCGAGCUAACGACUAAAAACAAAAGCUCUUGUUGGGAGGCAACCCAAUUUCUUUAAUUUAGGUCUUUUCUUUAUUUUUUUUUUUAUUAAAAAAAUAAAUUAAUUUGCGAGUGGCGGUCGCCGCACUUAACACGGCGGUCGCCACACGUGUGUUCACAUGUGCAGGAUAGGGCGGGCCAGAGAAAUCGCUGGACGGGCCGCGGCGGCAUGCCAGGAAACGCAGUUUUAAACGUCCCAUGCGGUAGCCCGCCACACAUCACGCGGCGACUGCCGCGCGCAGUCCAGAAACGAGAAUGGCCUAUUUAAGGAUAAUGGGAUCAAAGGGAAAGCGCCCGAAAACGCGAAGAACUAUGGUAUUAUCCUUGCCUCGGAUGAGCAAAAGGCCAUGUGGAAGAAGUUGUCGGCGCGAGAGACGGCGCCCUCGAGGUACCCCCACGAUUUCCCUCUCCAAACUUUGGGGAUCGCGGAGGACUUUUGGGCGUUGUGUGACGUGGGCGAUGGGAAUGGGCUCCACUACAUGUUCGAGAGGAAGUGGCCGUCUUCCGGAAGUAUACUCUUGAGUUCCUAAGCUCGUUGAAGGUCACCAAGGACCGCCGGCAAAACAUCCCGCUUAGCAUCGACUUCCUCCUAGGCAACCAAUGGCACUCGCUCACCAUGGAGGAACUUUGCGGAAUCUUCCAUUGCUUCGACCCCAACCCCGAGACCGAUAAUGACUAUGACUUUGACGAGGUUUAGGGUGCGAUGACGAAUGAGUACGAGCAUGCCGCGGGCUAUGCUAAGUCUUCUUCGAUUCGCAACCUGGUUUUGAGGUACCUUCACAGCGCUAUGACCCAACUUAUGUUUGCUAGGGUCGAUGGGGGGAGUGUCUCCCAAACGGAGUUGAAUGUGAUAUGGUGCCUCCUCAACAAGAAGGGAUUCGAUUAUGGAACCCUUUUUACUAUCUAUGUGGACCGGAUCACGAAGAAGGAUGACGGCGUUAUUUGUUGUGGGAGCUUGAUCACGCCGAUUGCCGAGUACUUGGACAUAUCCUUCGCCGGAUUGACGGAGGAUGGCGGGGAGCGCUUUAUCACCUAUGCGGUGCUCUUUUCGGUGGGGCUAUUGAAGACCGACUAUUGGGGUCAAGGAUUUUUCCUACAAGGCCGAACCCCGAUGAGGAGUUUUAAACAAACACCUCCGCCCAACUAGGAGAUAUCUACUCCUACAUGCAAAACGUGUCCAACACUUGGGACACCCGUUGGGCGGAGCAACAAAGGGAGAACGCCUACAACUGCCAAGGAUGGACGGCUCAAGGCGAUUGGCGCACGGCGAAGCAACAAUUUUGGGAGCAACAAAGGCUAGAAGACGUGCAUCGCCGUCAAGAAAUUAAAGAGCUCCAUAGGAUGGCCGCCGAGGCUCGAUAAGAGUGCCAAACCAUGAUUGGCGACAUCGCCUAUCUUAUUGGUGCAUUCGACGACCUCAACGCCCGUUUCCCUCCUUCUCCUCAAGAUUGAAGAAGUCAAGCUCAGUGACUUUAAAUGAGCAUUUGUACCAUGUUUUUGGAUAUUUUUAAGACAAUUUCUUUUUAUGUUUUUGACAAUUUUUGCUUUAAUUUUAAGUAUUUUUGGUUUUAGUUUAAUUUUUGUGCGUUGAAAAUUUUUCGUAGGUUCUGAUCUCAUCGUGGCAACCGCCGCAUGUGCUGCGGCGGUCCGCCACCUGCUCGCUGGAACAAUCUGUUGCUGCGCGGCGACCGCCGGACAUGCCGCGGCGGGCCGCCACCUGGGCGCAAUUUCCAGCGCGAUUUUUUGAAUUUUUUUGAAAUUUCGCCCCGUCAAGCCUCGACGCGAAAUUUUUCAAGGUACGUUUUUUUUAAGUAGUUUACUCACGUCCCU